UGGUGAGUAUAGCUAUGGGGGUACACCUAGUUACAUUCCGAACCUAGAAGUUAAGCCCAUAUACGCUGAUGGUACUUGGCUGGAAGCGGCCUGGGAGAGUAUGGAUUUGCCAAGCG
rnacentral:rRNA from 2 species